UACGAAGGGGGCUAGCGUUGCUCGGAAUUACUGGGCGUAAAGCGCACGUAGGCGGCUUCUUAAGUCGGUGGUGAAAUCCUGGAGCUCAACUCCAGAACUGCCUUCGAUACUGGGAAGCUCGAGUCCGGGAGAGGUGAGUGGAACUGCGAGUGCAGAGGUGAAAUUCGUAGAUAUUCGCAAGAACACCAGUGACGAAGGCGGCUCACUGGCCCGGUACUGACGCUGAGGUGCGAAAGCUAGGGGAGCAAACGGG
rnacentral:rRNA from 1 species